AUUGAACGCUGGCGGCAGGCCUAACACAUGCAAGUCGAGCGGAUGAAGGGAGCUUGCUCCUGGAUUCAGCGGCGGACGGGUGAGUAAUGCCUAGGAAUCUGCCUGGUAGUGGGGGAUAACGUCCGGAAACGGGCGCUAAUACCGCAUACGUCCUGAGGGAGAAAGUGGGGGAUCUUCGGACCUCACGCUAUCAGAUGAGCCUAGGUCGGAUUAGCUAGUUGGUGGGGUAAAGGCCUACCAAGGCGACGAUCCGUAACUGGUCUGAGAGGAUGAUCAGUCACACUGAACCUAGAAAACGGUCCGGACUCCACGGGAGGCAGGAGUGGGGAAAUAUUGGAAAAGGGGGGAAGGCUUAUUCAGGCCAUGCGGGGUGUGUAAGAAGGUUCUUGGAUUGGAAAGGCACUUAAGGUGGGAGGAAGGGGAGGAAGGUAAUACCCUGCCGGUUUGACGUUGGCAACCGAAUAAGCACCGGCUAACUUCGUG
rnacentral:rRNA from 1 species